rnacentral:rRNA from 1 species
UACGAAGGGGGCUAGCGUUGUUCGGAAUCACUGGGCGUAAAGCGCACGUAGGCGGUUCGUUAUGUCGGAUGUGAAAGCCCUUGGCUUAACCGAGGAAGUGCAUCCGAAACUGGCGAGCUAGAGUACUAAAGAGGAUCGCGGAAUUCCCGGUGUAGAGGUGAAAUUCGUAGAUAUCAGGAGGAACACCGGUGGUGUAAACGGCUUUCUGGACCGUAACUGACGCUGAGGCACGAAAGCGUGGGUAGCAAACAGG